UCGAAAUGUGGACAGAACAUA
rnacentral:piRNA from 1 species